UUUUUUGCUUCUGUUUGCUCCGGAGCAACUUCUGUGUACUAGAGCAAACCUAUUAUACAAAACCAUCUGACAACGCUGCUCUAAAGUGAAAAGUGCUCUUACAACAUCGAUGACAUCUUUUUUGUUUUUUCUGUUUUCUCUACCUAUCUGGUGUGUUUCAUCCUGCCAAGGAAUCCAAAAAAAAAGUUUUGGGAGGGAACGACUGGUAACUUUAAGUUAAAUUUUUUGGAGUUAUUUGCUUUUAUUACAACUAUUGACGGACGUUUCAUUGCAGGAUAUAUAUGAAGCCGAAAACACCCACAACAAUAGGGUAACUAACAUAAACCUCGCCGGAAACAAAGUGAUAGUCGCACGGUUGAGUGAACGAAUCGAUUUUCUGAGACUGGAAACGUACACGUAAGGUUGUCAGAUCGAUUGGGGAUUUACGUCUGCAUAUGGGCGAACCCACGUACGCAGUGGUUCGGCAGGAAGCAUUAGUUUAUUUCAGCAAUCCGCCGGCUCAAAUCCGUCCAGAGCGUUGCCAGCUCAACAUCACGCAUCCGAGGAGGAACUUCGAUGUAUCCUGGAGUUUAACCAGCAGGGUCACCGGUGACAUGUUUGGAAGUGGCGGGCGGUACAGUCAUUACUGGCAGCCAGGGCCACACUGUUAACGUUUUCCAGCUCGAUAGCCACCUAUUGCAGUUCACCCUAAACGGCCAUUGCGGUCCUAUCACAUCUAUUUUCAUAGACCAGUGGCAGGCCGAGAUGGGCGCAUCUGGUUGCCAGGAUGGUGUGCUAUAUGUGUGGGACUUGAUACGGGGUGCCUGUAUGUACAAAAUUGAAGCUCAUAACGACUCAAUCGUCGCACUUGCCUGUUCCACGAGUUACGCAAUAUCGCUCGGACUGAACGAACGAAUACGGUUCUGGGAUAGAUUUCAGGGUCAGCCGCUCAACACCAUGACCGUCAGUCAUGCAUAUUCAUCGCUUGUGAUGCUGACGCCGUCCCUUCUCGUGACUGGAAAGCCAGCCCGAAUAGAUAUGCACAACAGUAUUACAGCAGUUUUUAUUGUCAUAUUACAACGAAAAACAAUGUUAUUCUGGAAAAUUUACAAUAGAAAUAUAAUCACAUUUGUUGUUUCUACAUCCAAUUUCAU